CGGCAGGCUUAACACAUGCAAGUCGAGGGGUAACAGGGAUUGCUUGCAAUCCGCUGACGACCGGCGCACGGGUGCGUAACGCGUAUGCAACCUACCUUCUUCAGGGGGAUAGUCAAUAGAAAUGUUGAAUAAUACCCCAUACGAUCAUUAAUCUGCAUGGAUUGAUGAAGAAAGCUCCGGCGGAAGAAGAUGGGCAUGCGUCCUAUUAGUUAGUUGGUAAGGUAACGGCUUACCAAGACAUCGAUAGGUAGGGGUCCUGAGAGGGAGACCCCCCACACUGGUACUGAGACACGGACCAGACUCCUACGGGAGGCAGCAGUGAGGAAUAUUGGACAAUGGAGGAAACUCUGAUCCAGCCAUGCCGCGUGCAGGAAGACGGCCCUACGGGUUGUAAACUGCUUUUAUACAGGAAGAAUUGCAUCUACGUGUAGAUGUUUGACGGUACUGUACGAAUAAGGAUCGGC
rnacentral:rRNA from 1 species